AAGUAGGGAGAACACGGAUUACCGUACCGGUGUGGACGAGGUCUCCCUUGGACUUGCACCAAACGAUUAGUAAUGGCAGGGACGAGUCCAGCGCGGGUCAGGAUUUUUCCUCGCCCUCGGCUUGCACUGCCGCCCCGGAGAGUCGAUUGGCUGCGGUGGAGAGUGCAGUGAACUCCGGGGACAGGAAUCAAGAAAAUCAAUCGGAUAAUUUCAACUCAGGAAUAAGGACAGCCAGCAGAGCCGUGCCGUGCACACCACGAAAGCGGACGCCUGCUAGCGAAACAAACCGGCAAAUCACAGAGUGAGUUGUUUAUUAAAAGGAAAGCAAUCUGGUGAAGAUGUCUCUCCUUCGGCGUCCAUGAUCCCCACGGAGCAGACUCCGAGAAAAAGGUGGUGUGAAAAAGAGGCGGUCGCACUAUUAUUUUUUUGAGGUGAAGAUUCUGGUCUUUGGGGUUUCCACCAGAUUGGGAAGUAAAGACCGUCUCUUCGAAGGAGGAGGAGAAGGAGUGCCGGGAAAGCAGAAACUCUUUGGGGAUUUUCGUGAGGCAGAACCCGGGGACUGUUUAAAAGAAAUCGAUAUGUAGCAACCCAGUGGCCUUGUAUGUAGCCACAAAUACAGUGUUAAACGCGUUAACAACUGUGCAAUGUAUCUUUAAAGAGGAGACAAAAAGCCUGAUGUCUACACUGGCCAAAAGUGUAAAGCUUUAAAAGUCAUUUAUUGUUUAUUGAUGCAGCUUGAGUUGUAUAUUUG